CAACUUGAGGUCAGUGGAAUGAUAUAUCACAUGAAUUGCACCCAUGAAGUUUUACAAGGAAAGGAACACGCUACGUGUACGUCAUGCUAUGUGCCACGGAGAAUACACUAAUAAUCACAAGCCGUGAUGUAAUGUAGAGGAGUUAUGCAGUCCACAAAUUUUGAUUGGUAACUAAUUAAGCCCUCGUGCACCAAGGGUGUCUCAUAGAUUUCAGGCAGUCGGAGAAUGAAUAUAAAAGCUUUCACAACUCGGGGUUUUUCUAACCACUUCUCUUCAUUUGUCCUUCUCUGUGACCUGGUGUGUGUUUCAGGGUUACCUCCAUCUCGGAAAGAUGUCUUGUUCCAGAAAUGUGUGCACUGCUGGGGGCUCAGCGUGCGGUGUGGCACGCCCCAGGCCAUUCACUGACAGCUGCAACCAACCAUGCGUCACGCGGUGCCCCGACUCGAGAGUGAUAAUCUACCCACCACCGGUUGUCGUGACCUUCCCGGGACCUAUCCUCACCACUUUCCCGCAGGAAAGCGUAGUGGAAUCCGUGGGAGCUCCUGUCGUUGCAAGUGGCUACGGGGGCACGUCUGGUUCAGGAGCUUUCGGGGUGGGCCAUGGAAACCGUGACCUGUGUGGGCCAUGUUAAAUCCAGAAGGAACAGCCAGGGAAUGAAAAGCAGGGUACAGAUUCACUGUAGAGCUUUCAGAAGGGCUCUGCACCCACAACUCCUGCUGAAGUCAGUGGGAGCUGUGAAUGCUCAGAACCUCUGAAAAGGACGCACAGACGCAUCUUUUGUGUUAUUCUUUAUUAUUCUUUCCUCUAAGGUCUUCCCAACUAUCUGCUGUUUCUAGUUCUCAGUUCCACUGCAGGUUCUUUACGCUCUUCUGGCAAAGUAAAGGAAGUUGGAGCCUUAAAGAGACCACAAAUUCCAUUUACAUUCAGUUUAAAGCCACUUUCCAUUGCCAGAGAGGUGUAAUGGGGCCGUAGUGUCACAGAGAAAUUUGGCACUUUAGGUUCUAGCCAUGCCAUGAAUAGAGAGACCGUUUGUUGAUGGCUUCUGAUGUACAAUGCAGAAGUCAUUUAAUCCUCUGCUUAUGUUGUUCUUUGUCUCCUUUGUUUCUCCCUGGGGUGAAGCCGCUAACUUAAAUGAAAAAAAAAACACUUGAUAGGCAAAUUUCACAGCUGCACCAAAGAAAAAAGAACAUCUUGCUCAAAUUGCAUCUCCUUGGAGCAAGUGAUUGGUUGCAGCCCUUUUUGAAACCCUACAAAUAGAUUUUCUGUCCUUUGCAUUAUUUCAUUCUGCCAUUGUAUAUCCCUCUUUUCAGUCACAUUAAAAAUCAUGUUGCUUCACA